UGAAAAUAAAAUCUUAUUCAAGGCAAACAAACACAAGAUCGAAGACAGUUCUGUGUAGCUCAUGGAAGUUUACUUCAUGUGGAGAAAUCUCUUACCUUGAAGUUGUGCCUUUAGUCACAUUUUGUCAUAAAUGUGUUUGGAACACUGAAAAUAAAUGUGUAUAUUAUAUAUAUAUCACUGAUGACCGAGAAGCAGAUUAUGCGGCACAAUUUGAUGCUUUGUGAAAAAUAGUCACUGUAGUGAUCCAUGGUAACCUAGGUUUAGAUCCACUGAAGGUUUUCUAACAUUUGGGUAAUAUUCAUUGGUUAAUAAUGGAUCAGACACGUGUGAGAGAAU